UACGUAGGUGGCGAGCGUUGUCCGGAUUUACUGGGCGUAAAGAGCGCGCAGGCGGUCGUACAAGUCGCGUGUGAAAGCCCCCGGCUCAACUGGGGAGGGUCACGCGAUACUGUUCGACUCGAAGGCAGGAGAGGGUAGUGGAAUUCCCGGUGUAGUGGUGAAAUGCGUAGAUAUCGGGAGGAACACCAGUGGCGAAGGCGACUACCUGGCCUGUUCUUGACGCUGAGGCGCGAAAGCUAGGGUAGCAAACGGG
rnacentral:rRNA from 1 species